UUCUUUGUCUUGGUGCGCAGGCUGCGGCGUGCACCCUGCCGAGGAGGUGUGCUGGCGGCGCUCUGAGCCUGUGCGUUUGCGGACGGAGACUUGUGGAAGAAAUGGCAAUAAACGAGCGUGGUUACAGAGGCUUCACUGGAGAGAGUGGCGCCCUCAAGCGCCUUUCCUGAGAACUACACUCAGCAUUUCAGCCUCAAACCACCUGAGCUUUGAAUUGUGCCUGCCACUUUCUCAGGAAGUGAGUGGAGCAUGAAGGAGAAAACCAUGAACCAGGACCUCAGGGAAUCCAAGAAACAGGAUACGCAGCCCAGGAAAGAUGCAAGAGAAAGUGUUGCCGCCACAGCUGCCCAAGCAGGCCUGUAGAGGAAUCAGUCCCAAACGGAGGAGGAGAACAGAGAGCUG